rnacentral:rRNA from 1 species
CCAAUAGCGUAUAUUAAAGUUGUUGCAGUUAAAAAGCUCGUAGUUGAAUUUUAGGCCUGGCCGGGCGGUCCGUCUUUGGCGAGUACUGUCUGCUGUCGGGUCUUCCUUCUGGUGAGCCAGCAUGUCCUUUAUUGGGUGUGUUGGGGAGCCAGGACCAUUACCUUGAAAAAAUUAGAGUGUUUAAAGCGGGCUAUUGCUUGAAUAGAUUAGCAUGGAAUAAUAGAAUAGGACGUUGUGGUUCUAUUUUGUUGGUUUCUAGGACCACCGUAAUGAUUAAUAGGGAUAGUUGGGGGCAUUAGUAUUCAAUUGUCAGAGGUGAAAUUCUUGGAUUUAUUGAAGACUAACUACUGCGAAAGCAUUUGCCAAGGAUGUUUUCAUUAAUCAAGAACGAAAGUUAGGGGAUCGAAGACGAUCAGAUACCGUCGUAGUCUUAACCAUAAACUAUGCCGACUAGGAAUCGGGCGACGUUAUUUUCACGACUCGCUCGGCGCCUUAUG